ACUUUUAAAGGAUAACAGCUA
rnacentral:tRNA from 2 species